CCUAAUCAACAGAAUCUCCUUGGUCCUGCAGCAACCUUUAGAAGGUUUUUCAACAGAAAAGGUGUUUCUAUUCUACCCACAUCAGACUAGGAAUCACAGUUCUGGGAAUGAUGCUACAAGUGAGCAGGGAGUGAAAUAGUUAUUGAUUACCACAACAAGAUGCAAAAAAAACCCGAAAACUUAGAGGAUUAAAAUGAUAAGGAAAGUCACAAGGACAGUAACGAGUAAAGCCUGGACUUGAACUUCUGAUGACAAGCUUCCGCUUUGCCUCACAGCCUCUUAGACCAAGAUCCAAAUGAGUAAAACACACACAAAAGAGACAGGUAUCACCAUGAGCUCGUGUGGCCAAGAAGCCUUUGUAUUGACUGAACUUACCUUGGAAGUAAAUGCAUGUACAGUAAUAAGUUUCAACUUUUUUAAGGACAUGGGCUCACAAAGGGAAAAACUGCUGGGAGUAGAAUAAAAACUGAGCAGGAUACAGACAACAGAGAUGAAGAAAAAGAAGUCCAGUUACAAGGAGAUGGGUGGGGAGGAAGAGUGAGAAAAUCCUAGAAAGCAAGC